GAAGGUCAUCAUCUGAGGGCUCUCAAAAUAUGAUUAAUUUUUCAAUAUUUAGACAAACCUACUUAAAGGAAAAAAUCGAAACACUAUCAGAGCAAUCGGCUCUCACCUAUCUUAUAACAGCUACCGUUCAGUGAGGGUGAAAGCUAACCCGUGCUUCCUCCAAGACGUAUGAGGCCAGAUGCAUCUUUUCCAACUGCUGCUCAUGUUGUACCAAAAGUUGUAUCAUGUUGUAACAUUUCCACAGUAAAGCACUAUCUACCCUGUUCCACUGUUUUUACAUGAGCUCACAGACUGUUCAACGUCACUGUGAUUGACAGGGGAGAUAGAGUGUAUCAUCCCGCCCUCCGUCCCUGAGACCACGGCCAAUUUUGCUCUCUUGGACUCCGGCAACGGAUGACUGUCGCAUCAUCAGGAUUCGAACUCUCUGGAAAACAGCAACCAUCCAAGUGCCUGGACAACGUGGGGGAAACAUCUCAAUGUGUGCGGCUAUAUGUGAAGAUGGUGUGGUAGGCCGUAGACCUACGUUCUUGGAUUAUACAACACUGAACACCAGAAAGCUUUUCUAAAUGAACUUGAGUAGGCCUGUCAGUGUGAAGAAAGACAUCAGGUAUGUUAUUGUGUGGGACAAUGUCAGCUUCCAUCAUGCAGAGCUGGUUCGGGAAUGGUUUCAGGCUCAUUCUCGGUUCAUGACCUUAUAUCUCCCACGAUACUCUCCUUUCCUCAACCCAACAGAGGAAUUCUUCUCUACUUGGAGGUGGAAGGUGUAUGAUCGCCAUCCCUAUGAGCAUGUCGUCCUCCUUCAAGCCAUGGAUGAGGCUUGCAAUGACAUAACUGCAGAGAAAUGUCAAGCGUGGACUCGUCAUGCCAGAAGGUUUUUCCCAUGGUGCAUGAACAACGAGGAUCUUCAGUGUGUUGAUGAAAAUUUUUGACCAAAUGUUGAAGACAGGCUUGAUGUUAAUUAAUCUGAGAUUAUCUCCAUUUACAGUAAAUUGUUUAUGUUUUUUUGUUUCACAAUGCAACCAGAGUAUUGGUUAAAAAAAAAAAAAUACUGUAAAAUAAAAUAUUUUUCCUGCAUAAUUGACAUUUGAUGUGUAUUUUGAUCAUAUUUUACUUGUAUAAAUAAAAUAUCAAUUUUAUUAUGGCUUUUGUCAGUUUGCUUGGAUGAUGUAAGUGUAAUAUCUAUUGUGAUGACUGUGUACAGUAAAGUAACAGUCAUUCAGAACCAAGGGUGAUUUAAAAUGUGCAUCUUGCAUUGUUUUCUGGUGAAUUAACUGACUGUUAAAAGUGCUAAAUUAAAAUAAGAUCAUACGGUUGCGUUUUGGUGAUUACAAUAAAUGUUCUCAUUACAUGUUACAAUAAUCUUGUGUUUUGAAACAAUGAUUUAAUGGAAAGAAAAUAUGUAACUGAAAUCAGAUCAGGUUUGAAUCAGUCAUUAUUGCAUUAGAACGACUAACUGUGAAACAAGUGUGAUCAAUUUGGAGUCUUGUACUAAGAGUUUUGAAAAAUUACCCCUUACUUGUGAAAAUAGUUCGAAAG
ensembl:lncRNA